GACGAACGCUGGCGGCGUGCCUAAUACAUGCAAGUCGAGCGGAACUGGGGGAGCUUGCUCCUUCCAGUUUAGCGGCGGACGGGUGAGUAACACGUGGGCAACCUGCCCUGCAGAUCGGGAUGACUCCGGGAAACCGGUGCUAAUACCGAAUAGUUUGGCGCCUCUCCUGAGGCGCUACGGAAAGACGGUUUCGGCUGUCACUGCAGGAUGGGCCCGCGGCGCAUUAGCUAGUUGGUGGGGUAACGGCCCACCAAGGCGACGAUGCGUAGCCGACCUGAGAGGGUGACCGGCCACACUGGGACUGAGACACGGCCCAGACUCCUACGGGAGGCAGCAGUAGGGAAUCUUCCGCAAUGGACGCAAGUCUGACGGAGCAACGCCGCGUGAGUGACGAAGGUUUUCGGAUCGUAAAACUCUGUUGUGAGGGAAGAACACGUACCAACUAACUAUUGGUACCUUGACAGUACCUCACCAGAAAGCCACGGCUAACUACGUGCCAGCAGCCGCCGUAA
rnacentral:rRNA from 1 species